ACACCGCCCGUCACACCAUGAGAGUUGGGAAUACCCGAAGCCUGUGAGCUAACAUAUGAGGCAGCAGUCGAAGGUAGAAUCAAUGAUUGGGUGAAGUCGUAACAAGGUAUC
rnacentral:rRNA from 1 species